UACGGAGGGUGCAAGCGUUAAUCGGAAUUACUGGGCGUAAAGCGCGUGUAGGCGGUAGGCCAAGUCUGUGGUGAAAUCGCUCGGCUUAACUGGGCGGGGUCCAUGGAAACUGGUCACCUGGAGGUCGGUAGAGGCAAGUGGAAUUCCCGGUGUAGUGGUGAAAUGCGUAGAGAUCGGGAGGAACACCAGUGGCGAAGGCGGCUUGCUGGGCCGGACCUGACGCUGAGACGCGAGGGCGUGGGGAGCGAACAGG
rnacentral:rRNA from 1 species